UACGAAGGGGGCUAGCGUUGCUCGGAAUCACUGGGCGUAAAGGGUGCGUAGGCGGGUCUUUAAGUCAGAGGUGAAAUCCUGGAGCUCAACUCCAGAACUGCCUUUGAUACUGAAAGUCUUGAGUAUGGGAGAGGUGAGUGGAACUGCGAGUGUAGAGGUGAAAUUCGUAGAUAUUCGCAAGAACACCAGUGGCGAAGGCGGCUCACUGGCCCAUUACUGACGCUGAGGCACGAAAGCGUGGGGAGCAAACAGG
rnacentral:rRNA from 1 species